CAACAAUACGGUUUCAUUCAACAUUCAUUUCUGUGUUCAAUGUGUUUAACAACUGUGUUACAGAAUAUCUUGCGCUGUGUAAAAAGUGAAAAACAAAAAAAUGUCGAAUCAAACAAAUCAAAAAAAGUCAAAGCUAACCGAAAAGACGAUUGAAUCUUUCCAAAUAAAUUAUAUAAAUGAAUAUUCACAAUUAUUUGAGCAAAAUUCCGAAUUGAAAAUCGAAAAUGAAAAUUUACGCAGCACAGUGAAGGAGCAAUCAUUGGCUUUGAUUGAUGCUAAGCAAAAAAACAGCGAUUAUUUAAGUGAAAUUUCUCGGCUUAAAGCCCUUUUGAGCAUUCAAACCGGCCAGGAAACAAGUGAAAAUGUGGAUGUAAAUACUGUGGAACAGCCAUUGACGAUUGUAAACAAACCAUUGUAUAUUGCUGUUGAUCGUUGAAUCUGUGUAUGUGCCCGUAAUGAGCGUGUAUUCGAUUUGAAUGUGGGCCUCCUUCAUGUAAAUUGCACGAACACAUAUCCAUUAAAUCGAUAAUUGCGUAGUUGAUGUGCAUGUGCAAAAUGGUACAUUCAAUACGAGACCUAUGUGCCCCCAAUUUCAAUAUUUAAAUACAGAUUGGAGAUACACGUUUCAAUAUUUAAAGCUGAACUUGAAAUAUUACUGAUUAAACGUAUUUUUGUAUGUUUUACGAGUUUGUGGUCGAAAGUUGUUUUUUGUUACUUUCAAAAGUUUAGUAUCGCUUUUGCACAACAAUAAAUUCCCUAAAAAAAAACACAGAAUUUCUCUGUUUCUCUCCGUUUGAAAGAAUCCAUUUUUGUAAUAUGGAAGAAAGGUCACACUCCAACUACUAGUAAUUUAGUCACCGAAGGAACAGAUUCCCAGGUUUUAAGAGCUCGUGAUCGUUUAUAUCGUCGAAUUUCUGGUCAUCGCGAACAUUCUAAUUCACCUACGCGAUCACCAAGAAAUCGAAGUCCUGCCGCGACACGAGAAGAAGUUGAGACAUUGAAACAAGUUAUAUCGAACGAUCCGCCUUGGCCAUAACUUCGCUUUGUUGCUUAAAUCUUCAAUCAGAUGAAUUUUACUUUGUAAGCGAUUCAUUGCUAUUGAUGUCACGUUUGGUCGAGAGUUUCCAACAUGAUCCAACCCGAUCGCAACAAUUAUUGGUUGUAACGCCAUCGAUACCACUAUAAUCAUCGAUAUAUCAUAUCAGGCUAUUCGUCAGUUUUCGCCACUAGCUAAUCAUCAAUCGGAAACCAAUCAGAGUCAGAUAUAAUGCAAACAUCAUUCAUGUAAUUGAAUUUUUGUGAUAGGUAAUGCAAGCAUUUUGGUUCAACAAUAUACUGUUUACUAUCGUAAAGUUGAGGAAGAAUCAAAUCAACACGCGCAUAAUCAACCCAGUGGUAGUAGUUCAAGUAAUGCCGUUGGUGGUACAUCGAUCAGUACGCGAGCAUCAUCGUCCUCUUCGUCAUCGUCUUGAAAACACUCAGAGAAAUCGUCAUCAAAAUCAUCACGCAAGAAGUCUGAAUAUUGGACCGAUGGCAUUCAACAAGUUGUUUCGCCAAUUCAAAUUUUUUUAACGAAUUUACUGCCCAAAGAUAUAUUAAUCUCUCAAGAUGCAUCUUUGGAUGCUUUGUGCAUGUUACGUGUUGUGCAUACAUUGAAAUGACACUGGGAAUCGAAAUGACACUGGGAAUCACUUUACAAUGCCAACUUUACACAUGAAGACAAUAUUCCCGCAUCUGAAUUCAUUCACUCGGUCUCUUCCCAAUGCAAAAUAGUCAUAGUGCCAAACAAAUACAAAUCUCACGCAUCAAAUCAAAAUUCAAAUUCUUGGGUAAAUUUAUGGCUAAGACAAUCAUGGAUAGUCGAAUGUUAGAUCUACCAUUUUCAAUCCCGUUCUAUCGAUGGUUGUUAUAUGAAGACAUUUCACUUGGACUGGCCGAUUUAUCGUCGGUGGCACUAGAAGUUCAAGUCUCAUUGAAACGCUUGCAGAGUAUUGUACGUGAAAUCCAUCUAUGAAUUAAGAAACCAAAAAUUUCAAGAUUGAAAGUUCAUAUUAUGAUGGCUGUCCAAUUGCCGAUAUGGGUUUGAACUUCACACUUCUAGGUCAUGCAACCAUUGAACUCCGUCGUGGUAGUCGAGAUACUGCAGUCAAUAUUCAUAGUUUGCACCAAUAUGUCGCUUUAGUGACCCAUUAGCUCUUAGUCGAAGGAUUUGAUUCGGUGUUCCAAUCACAACGAUUGCGUCUCUUCUAUCCCGAAGAAAUUCAAAAGGUGCUGUGCGGCUCAAGUUUGAAAAACUAUCAUCGUUUGGAUGUAAAAAUGUUGUAAGAUUGCUGUUGUACCGACCAUGGAUUCACGCCCGAAUCGAAGACCAUUCAGUAUUUGUAUGAAAUACUAAGCACAUACAAUCGCGAAGAACAACGUUUAUUCUUGCAAUUUGUCACCGGUUCAAAGUGUUUACCGACUGGCGGUUUCAGGCAUACAAUCCACCAUUGACCAUCGUACGCAAAAAACUCGAUCCAAAUGAGAAUCCAGACGAAUAUUUGCCAUCAGUCAUGACAUGUGUAAACUACUAAUAUCCGAGUCGCAAAGCAAUUCGUGGAAAAUUCAAAACGACACUUUUUUGACAUUUGUCUUAAAUUUAACCAUUUGCUGAACAGAAAGAAAACUAAUUCAGAUUUGUUCUUUCAAUCAAUCAGAUUUGUUCUUUCAAUCAAAAGUUGUCAAAUGAAGAGAACCAAAUAUGUCAAUAUGAUCCCAUGAAAAAACGAUCUGUGAUUUGCCGUUUGUAAAGCAUUUUCUGUAUCAUCAAUGUGAGAAAAUCUAACAAAAAUGAAUAUCAAGUAAAAUCAAAAUUGAAAGACAAAAUAUAACAUACAUAAAUAUUGGAA